ACGAAAGUCUGACCGAGCAACGCCGCGUGAGUGAAGAAGGUUUUCGGAUCGUAAAGCUCUGUUGUAAGUCAAGAACGUGUGUGAGAGUGGAAAGUUCACACAGUGACGGUAGCUUACCAGAAAGGGACGGCUAACUACGUGCCAGCAGCCGCGGUAAUACGUAGGUCCCGAGCGUUGUCCGGAUUUAUUGGGCGUAAAGGGAGCGCAGGCGGUCAGGAAAGUCUGGAGUAAAAGGCUAUGGCUCAACCAUAGUGUGCUCUGGAAACUGUCUGACUUGAGUGCAGAAGGGGAGAGUGGAAUUCCAUGUGUAGCGGUGAAAUGCGUAGAUAUAUGGAGGAACACCAGUGGCGAAAGCGGCUCUCUGGUCUGUCACUGACGCUGAGGCUCGAAAGCGUGGGUAGCGAACAGGAUUAGAUACCCUGGUAGUCCACGCCGUAAACGAUGAGUGCUUGGUGUUAGGCCCUUUCCGGGGCUUAGUGCCGGAGCUAACGCAAUAAGCACUCCGCCUGGGGAGUACGACCGCAGGUUGAAACUCAAAGGAAUUGACGGGGGCCGCACAAGCGGUGGAGCAUGUGGUUUAAUUCGAAGCAACGCGAAGAACCU
rnacentral:rRNA from 1 species